rnacentral:rRNA from 1 species
GACGAACCGUGCGAACGUUGUUCGGAUUCACUGGGCUUAAAGGGCGCGUAGGCGGGCCGUCAAGUCAGGGGUGAAAGCCCCCAGCUCAACUGGGGAAGUGCCUCUGAGACUGGCGGUCUCGAGGGGGAUAGGGGCAUGCGGAACUCUCGGUGGAGCGGUGAAAUGCGUAGAUAUCGGGAGGAACGCCGGUGGCGAAAGCGGCAUGCUGGAUCCCUUCUGACGCUGAGGCGCGAAAGCCAGGGGAGCGAACGGG